rnacentral:lncRNA from 1 species
CUUAAAACUUGUUUUUCGAAAGAAAUGUAUCUAUCUUUAAACAAUUUUCAAUUGAGAAGUGCCAUAUGUAAAAUUAGAAUCAUGCAGUGCACAUGAUCUCAAAAUAAAACGAGACAGGUAUAAAACAUUAUAUAUAGAAAGAGAUCAAAGGCUUUGUAAGAAAUGUACUCUAAAUCUGGUUGAAGAUGAAAAACAUUUUAUAACUACAUGUAGUUGUCCAGCAUACAAAAAUGAUAAGGAGAUAUUUUUCGAGGAGAUAAACUGUAUUUGUCCUAAUUUUAUACAUCUUUCAAAUGAGGCAAAAUUUGUUUGGUUAUUUACUAAUGAAAAGUCUGUACUUAAAUAUUUAGGGAGCUAUAUUAUUACAUGUCUAGAUGUUAGACGAAAUGUUAAUUAAUGUAUGUAAUAACAAUGAUAAUUGUAAUAAUUUUAUGGUAUUGAUCCUGCCUGGAAUUAAAUGUAUAUGAUUUUUAUAGUAUGAAGAUAUUAAAAACAUCUGUCUCAACUUUUUUUAAUGUUUCAUUUUAUUAUAUAAAAAUGUUUUUCUGUUACAAAUCAUGAUGUAUUGUUUUAUGUGUACAUGUUAUGCUGCCC